UACGUAGGGGGCAAGCGUUGUCCGGAAUCACUGGGCGUAAAGCGCACGUAGGCGGCUUACUAAGUCAGGGGUGAAAUCCUGGAGCUCAACUCCAGAACUGCCUUUGAUACUGGUAAGCUCGAGUCCGGGAGAGGUGAGUGGAACUGCGAGUGUAGAGGUGAAAUUCGUAGAUAUUCGCAAGAACACCAGUGGCGAAGGCGGCUCACUGGCCCGGUACUGACGCUGAGGUGCGAAAGCGUGGGGAGCAAACAGG
rnacentral:rRNA from 1 species